rnacentral:tRNA from 1 species
GGCCCUAUCGUCUAACGGUCAGGACAGCGGCUUUUCAAGCCGUCAAUCGGGGUUCGAUUCCCCGUAGGGCCG